AUACAUGGUUUGACUAAAUAUUAAUUCUAUAGAUGAGUUAGGUCCUGAACUUAAAUCUGAAAUUACUGAAGAGAGAUUAGACAUGUUAAUCAGGUUGGGCUAUAUUGUGUUGCAUAAUAAACUCCCAAUAGCAGUGACAAAACAAAACAAAACAAAAGUCCAUUUUUCUUUCAAGGUACACAUCCUUGGAAAAUUAUCUGAGAGACUAAGAGUAGAGUCAGAAAAGCCACCUUCUGGAACAUUAUAUUAAUCAUGCCAGAACCAUGGGAAAUGCAAUCAGACAAGGCACCCAAGAGGUGGAGAGCAGAAAAUCUUUAUCCCUGAUGGCUUCCUCUUUGAGAUCCUGUGACAUCCACAACUUACAGAAACUGUAUUCCAUGUCUUCCUUCCAGAUUUGGAAUAAAUUCUACUCAGACAUGAAGUUGCUACAUUGGAGACAAUAUGUGGCCAUCUAUAGCCUUAACAUUAUUGUAUUCUGGUUGAUAAAAUGGUGGACUUUAUAGGACUGAAGACCAACUAAAUUAAUUAAAAUGAAUUUAAGAGGUCAAAUUCCUGUAAUUUGUGUUUUAUAGAAGAAAUAAUAAUCCUUAUAAAUAAUAGCAACAUUGCAAUGUAACUUUUCAGGUUUUUACUGAAAAUGUUGGCAAAUUUGACAAUGUUGGAUAAUUAUGCUAGAGAAUUAGUGUGGACAUUUUUCCAAAUUUAAGCCUUGAAUUUUAAGCUGAAAUAUAUAGAACGAGACAAAGAGGAGCGGAGUUCCAGCUGUGAUUUUGUGUCUCAUGCAGCUGUGGCCCACCUGCCCUAAGCAUCAGUGAUUUGGAUGCUGGGCAUUUUUGGCUCAGUUAUACACUUGUUGGAAAAUGUUAAAGCAAUUAGCAGAGGCAAUCUCAAAAGAGAAGACCCAGGAGAAUAAUGUCACUGAGGCUGUUGAAUAAAACAUUAUCAUCUUCAAAAUUGUGCUUAUUU
rnacentral:lncRNA from 1 species